rnacentral:rRNA from 1 species
UGGGGAAUAUUGCACAAUGGGGGAAACCCUGAUGCAGCGACGCCGCGUGAGCGAAGAAGGUUUUCGAAUCGUAAAGCUCUGUCCUAUGAGAAGAUAAUGACGGUAUCAUAGGAGGAAGCCCCGGCUCAAUACGUGCCAGCAGCCGCGGUAAUACGUAUGGGGCGAGCGUUGUCCGGAAUUAUUGGGCGUAAAGCGCGCGCAGGUGGUUUAGAAAGUCUGAUGUGAAAGCCAACGGCUCAACCGUGGAGGGUCAUUGGACACUAAUAAACUGGAGUGAAGGAGAGAAAAGUGGAAUUCCUAGUGUAGCGGUGAAAUGCGUAGAGAUUAGGAGGAACACCGGUGGCGAAAGCGGCUUUUUGGCCUGCAACUGACACUGAGGCGCGAAAGCGUGGGGAGCAAACAAG